GGGGAUCUGGUUUAGGGGUAUAACGUCUCAUUCGCAUUGAGAAGGUCUUGGGUUCGAUUCCCAAGUUCUCCA
rnacentral:tRNA from 1 species